GGAACGUGUGCCGAAUGCGCGUGUAAUAGGUACUUGAAUAUUAUAUAUCGUUUAUGUACACUCAUAGUUGUAAUAUACGCAAUAUACCAACAUUAGGAUUAUUUUAUAAUAAUAAAAUUAUGUGCUCGAGUGUAAAAUAUCGUACGCGCAUUACGUAUAAUUUACUUAUUUAUUACUAUUAUUUUUAUACAGAGUGGUCCAGCGAUUUUCUCGUAGGAAUUCAUAUAGUUAUUUUGAUUUGAGUUUUGUGUUGUUUUUUUUAUUUUUCAGUCGUUACGGAAUCCUUUGCAGAACAUUUUUUUGAAAAUAGUGUUAAAAUAAAGCUUUAAUUAUUCUGUAACGAUAAAAAAAAAACAGUAAUCGACUUCAUUUAAAAUCCUCCACAAAAAUCUGUGAAAAAUGGAUCGCCCUGUAUAUUAUACGUAUUCGAGCUUAACUGCAACGAUAAUAUUAUUGUGCUGUACUUCUUGUUGUCUGGCGCACGUGACGGGCUCCCUUCUAUAAAGACAAUCACUCAUAAUACAAAUUUACUAUCCACUGCAGGGAUGUAAAGAAGUCAUUGAGGCUGAUUGAGGUUCUCAUUAACCAGUAUUUAUUUAUUUUGGUAAUAAAACUGUUUAUCGAUCGAUUUCAUUUCUAUGUCGAUAAUUUGGUUAAUUGUGAUAUUAAGUAAAUUCCGUUUAGUUGAUUUGGGGGUAAGUAUAGGAGGCAUUCUUACUUUCUAGCUUACAUUUUCUUCACCUCCCAAGUUUCGCGCCUUCUCGACUAUCGUUUGUUUUUAAAGCUAUAUGACUGUGCGUUCAACGCACUAAAAGCUAUAAAAAAUGCAUUUUAAAUUUCAAAAAGUGGCUCAUUAUUAGUAGCAUAUAUGUAUGUAUAUAUGUAUAUAUAUAUAUAUAUAUAUAUGUUAUAGAUGUACAGCAGUGGCGCGUACACAUAACUUUUAUAUUGUGCAGGAGGCAACACAUUUUCUUGCGAGGAAAUUUUUUAAACCUUCAUGUAAAAUUAUGCAUAUUAUAUGUAAAAAGAUGGAUAUACUUAGCACGAUGGGUAGGCCCCAGUCGUAGAUCAAAAAUUGGGAAGGUAGAGGGGAAAUUGAAUGUAUAUAUGUAUAUACGCAACGAUUAACCAUUGCUAACGAAAAACAAUUCUAA